UACGUAGGGUGCAAGCGUUAAUCGGAAUUACUGGGCGUAAAGCGUGCGCAGGCGGUUCGGAAAGAAAGAUGUGAAAUCCCAGAGCUUAACUUUGGAACUGCAUUUUUAACUCUCGGGCUAGAGUAUGUCAGAGGGGGGUAGAAUUCCACGUGUAGCAGUGAAAUGCGUAGAGAUGUGGAGGAAUACCGAUGGCGAAGGCAGCCCCCUGGGAUAAUACUGACGCUCAGGCACGAAAGCGUGGGGAGCAAACAGG
rnacentral:rRNA from 1 species